rnacentral:rRNA from 1 species
UUUGAACGCUGGCGGCAGGCCUAACACAUGCAAGUCGAGCGGAUGAAGGGAGCUUGCUCCUGGAUUCAGCGGCGGACGGGUGAGUAAUGCCUAGGAAUCUGCCUGGUAGUGGGGGAUAACGUCCGGAAACGGGCGCUAAUACCGCAUACGUCCUGAGGGAGAAAGUGGGGGAUCUUCGGACCUCACGCUAUCAGAUGAGCCUAGGUCGGAUUAGCUAGUUGGUGGGGUAAAGGCCUACCAAGGCGACGAUCCGUAACUGGUCUGAGAGGAUGAUCAGUCACACUGGAACUGAGACACGGUCCAGACUCCUACGGGAGGCAGCAGUGGGGAAUAUUGGACAAUGGGCGAAAGCCUGAUCCAGCCAUGCCGCGUGUGUGAAGAAGGUCUUCGGAUUGUAAAGCACUUUAAGUUGGGAGGAAGGGCAGUAAGUUACUACCUUGCUGUUUUGACGUUACCAACAGAAUAAGCACCGGCUAACUUCGUG